rnacentral:rRNA from 1 species
AUUGAACGCUGGCGGCAGGCCUAACACAUGCAAGUCGAGCGAGCGGCGGAUGGGUGAGUAAUGUAUGGGGACUGCCCGAUAGAGGUGGAUAACUACUGGAAACGGUAACUAAUACUGCAUACUAUCGGAUAACCCAUAUGGGAUUAGCUAGUAGGUGAUGUAAUGGCUCACCCAGGCGACGAUCCCUAGCUGGUCUGAGAGGAUGAUCAGCCACACUGGGACUGGGACACGGCCCAGACUCCUACGGAGGCAGCAGUGGGGAAUAUUGGACAAUGGGCGAAAGCCUGAUGCAGCCAUGCCGCGUGUGUGAAGAAGGCCCUAGGGUUGUAAAGUACUUUCAGUCGGGAGGCGUUACCGACAGAAGAAGCACCGGCUAACUCCGUGCCAGCAGCCGCGGUAAUUC